ACGGCUCUUCUUCAUUUCUCAGCUCCAGUGAAAACAACACGUGUCCAGAUCUCAACAACCAGCAUUAGUCCAUAUACAAACAGCAGCACUGAACACACCAGCACAGCGUCGCCUUCAGAUCUGGCUUCUGUUGCUGGCGGUCUGGGUUCGGUUCUGCUGGUUCUGACUCUGUGUUCUGGAACCUUCAUCAUCCUGAAGAAGAGGAAGAGGAAAUCUGGGACAGCUUAAUUUCAGCAAAACAUGCAGCGCAAUACAGAGACUGACCACAUAUAUGAAGAGAUUCCAAACACAGAUGUUGCCAUGGUAACAUCUUCAUCCAAUCCGACGCCUGCAUCUUCAUCCAAUCAGACGCCUGCAUCUUCAUCCAAUCAGACGCCCGCAUCUUCAUCCAAUCAGACGCCUGCAUCUCCAUCCAAUCAGACGCCUGCAUCUUCAUCCAAUCAGACGCCUGCAUCACAUCUCAACACCUGCCCAAAAGUCUCUACUGUUUACACCACAGUAUCCAAUCAGCAGCCUGAUUCCAAGCCCAGUCACACCCACUCGACCAAUCAGGUGACAGAGACAGCCGGUGAUUAUUAUGCCAAAAUAAAGUGUCCUGAAGCAACACAGGACAGCGGGACAGAACUGAUCUACGUAACAGCAACACAUCCUCAAAACAUCACAACGCAUCCGCAUAACGUCACAACACACGAGGGUCCGAUAUAUUCAGUGAUCAACCAUAAAUGAAAA